rnacentral:ncRNA from 1 species
CGUCUUCAGGGCAGGGUGCAAUUCCCGACCGGCGGUACAGUCCGCGAGCCUUCGGGCAGAUCCGGUGCGAUUCCGGAACCGACAGUAUAGUCUGGAUGGUAGAAGACG